rnacentral:rRNA from 1 species
AUUGAACGCUGGCGGCAGGCCUAACACAUGCAAGUCGAGCGGAUGGAGGGAGCUUGCUCCUGGAUUCAGCGGCGGACGGGUGAGUAAUGCCUAGGAAUCUGCCUGGUGGGGAUAACGUCCGGAAACGGGCGCUAAUACCGCAUACGUCCUGAGGGAGAAAGUGGGGGAUCUUCGGACCUCACGCUAUCAGAUGAGCCUAGGUCGGAUUAGCUAGUUGGUGGGGUAAAGGCCUACCAAGGCGACGAUCCGUAACUGGUCUGAGAGGAUGAUCAGUCACACUGGAACUGAGACACGGUCCAGACUCCUACGGGAGGCAGCAGUGGGGAAUAUUGGACAAUGGGCGAAAGCCUGAUCCAGCCAUGCCGCGUGUGUGAAGAAGGUCUUCGGAUUGUAAAGCACUUUAAGUUGGGAGGAAGGGCAGUAAGUUAAUACCUUGCUGUUUUGACGUUACCAACAGAAUAAGCACCGGCUAACUUCGUG